CAACAAAAAAACAAAAAAUAUGCUCCUUUCCUCUUGGUGGCCUGGUGUGUAAUGGCCGCAAACAGCAGCCACCUGAUAGGAUAUGCAGCCUGUUGCUUGUAUAGGUUGUCCUAAGGGACCUUGGAAACAGCC